CAAAGAACUUCACCAAGUUUCAGUAAAUUAACUGCUAAGUCAUCAAGAAACAAAUGGAGUUAUUUUCAAAAGGAAAGACCAUUAAGGUUAAACAUAAUGAAGGAGGUCUCUUCUUCCUGGAAUGUAUAGCCCAUUUAAAACUACAAAAAGAAGACGUGAGAUACAUCUUCCCUCAUCUCAUUUUUUGAAACUGCUUUUCCUGGACUGCAUGGGAGUUGCAUUUCUGAAGGACAACAUUAGAGGGGCUGCUAGAGAGUGCUGUUGGAAGCGCUUCCUCAUUAAAACUGCUGACAGACUGAAAAUAGUCCUGGGUCUAGAUUAAAAGGAGCCCUUCACCUGACCUGGCUGGACUGGAGUUGGAAGGAGAUAGACAAAGCUUACCUGGGAGAAAUGGAGGAUGAAUUCUGAUUGUGCCGACUUGAUUCUCUUGAUGAAAAUAACCCAAAUACAGCGCGGAAACUAGUGUUGUCUGCCUGUUUGCAAAUUGUUCA